UCAUUGGUUGUGGUACCCCUGGUGCCAGCCCCUUCUGCCCUGGAAGCCGAUGCCCUUUGCCCUGCCCUUGGUACCGCCCCCGUGCCCUCCCUGCUUAACCUUGUGCAGAGCACAUGCUCUGCCUUUUGCCUCUGGUUCCCAAACAAACUCUGCAGGACUGACCAUAGAAAAGGCUCUUCUGCCUCUCUUCGUUGAGCUUGCACGGAAUGCGACUCCUGUCCUUGACCUCCGCUGCAGAUAAAUACAACGUGCCCUUCACUGCUGAGUGGUUUGGGAAGAAUGUCAGCCAGACAAGAGAGGGGUGAGAGAGGAAAGACAGAAUGGCUGCUGGGUGUUACCAGACCAUGUGAAAUGACAUCUGAGUGGAAUUUUAUCAGCAACAAACAAGAAACAAAUGAAGAAGGGAGGAUUAAAAAAUUCCUUUUUUUUUUCUAUGUAUACUAUCAUUUGUUAUAUGUGUGUGUGUGUGUGUAUAUAUAUAUACACACAUGGAUUUUUAAAUUACUGUUGGGAUGUGAAGAAGCAAAGAAAAGGAGCAGACAAUGUAAAGUUACUUGUUAAAGCAGGGAAUGUUAAGGUGUCAAGCAACGGUUAGGGACAUGCUGGGGAGCAGGAGGGUGGUACUUUACAGAUAUUACUGAUGUCAGCACAAAUUCUCCACCACUUUCAUUAACAGGGGAUCAAAGGUUUGAUGGGAUCUAGAAAUACAAGGAGGUUAAAACGUGGCAGGUGUGGGUAACCUCAUGUACACAGACCUUUGCCUCAGAAAGGAACGUUCUUGCAAAUCUGACAUAAUCCAAUUCCUUGAUUUCCUCAGUGACAUUUCUGCAGGCUCAUGCACAGAAGGACAGGGAAAUGGAGAUUUAUGACAGCUAUUCCUAGCAAAGGUCAUUUCUUGAUUGGUGAACAACCUGUCCUUAGUCAUGCUGAUGACGAGGCGCUGAAGGAUAAGGGAGAGGCUGGAGAGCUUUAAAGCUUGACAGGGAAUAAGAGAAAUAGAGCACAGAUCAUCUCUCUACUUGGGCCAGGAAGCUUGAAUUCUUCCACAAUCAGUCAAAGCCAGGGAACAGGAGGCAAAAUCCAGAAAAAACAAUACACGGGGAUUACUGUGGAGAUUGUGAGGGAGUGUGAGUGUCGAGAUAGCAAGGGGAAAAGAGGAGCCACAGAGCAUGAGUAUUUGGUUUGGAUAGUAAGGGUGUCCUUGGUGAAACCAGCUGCUUAUAAAGAACAGGGUCAGGUUGCUCUGGGGCUUCCCUGGCCAGCCCCACCAAGCUCCCAGCUUGAGCAGCUCUCAGCAUCCUGUCCCAUGCACUUCCAGGACAACACAAAUAUUGAUGGUACACAAACAACACAAAUACACACAAAUACACUUCCUCAGGUGUCCUUCCUCGGGCAAGGAAGGCAGCAGAUGUGACACACAUAUGGUUUAAAUGGAUUGUGUCAUACCCAUUAAAUAAUAAAAUGGUACCUCCCUGCUCAUCACAUGACUGUUCUUCCUGCUAGCAGAAGAGAUAUGACACUGUACAUAAAGUGAAGCACCAUUUUUUUUUUAAUCAGAAGGACCUUUCUGAUUACAGAAGGACCCUGAUUACAGGACCCUUCUGUGUGAAGGGAGUCACACACGGGUUUUUCACUCAGCUACCGACCUUAAAAGAGAGCAUUGGGUACCUUGGUGUAACUAGCUUUGCUUGUUUUCAAGCUCAUAAUAUUGGAUUAAGUAAAAAUGUGGCCAUUUCCCCAAAGCUUGGCUCAGAUCCUGAGCUGAGCUAUGGUUUGAGCUGGGUCACUGUCACAAACCAGGCUUGUGGCCAGCAAGACCAGUCAAGAGAUGUCUGCAAUGUGGAAAUGAAGUCAACAUGGGGGCUCCUUGCUGACCCCUCUGAGUGCUCUGACCCAAGGAGGAGCUUUGGGGCUCUUCAUCCAUGUCCUUGCUAAUCCCUUUUUUGCUAUUUAUUGGUUCCUCUGGGCUCUGAGCUGCCAGCAGAAGUCACAAGAGCUUUUGAGUUGGUCUGGUGCAAGACUCAGUCCAGUAACCUGAGAAUGCUGUGGUGGCCUCUAGCUUCCAAUCUGCAGCUGAAGAUCUCACCUUCCUCCCACAGUAAUUCCUCUCACCCUUUGAACUCUCCUAAGGCUUUUCCCAAAAUCACAAGAACUGAGGAUGGCUGCUCUUAAAAAGUGUAAAAUAGAUAACUGGUGGGAUAAUUGCCUGUGUUGUAUUUCUCCCCACACAAGAAAGGCAAAAGCAGCCUUAUGCUGUGUACCUCCCAGCCUGGUGUAACUUGAACCCAAAAGCUAUGAAGGAAAUGGAAAAUGUUAAUAAAUAAUGAUGUUUGAAACA